rnacentral:misc_RNA from 1 species
AAUUAACUUUUACUUAUCGUAAAGAUAGGUUGUACGUUCCCAUUUCUUUCAUGUAGCUAUAUUUAUUUAAACGAUUAGCCUUUCGGUAGCACAUCGAAUAGAAAUCCACCUAAUCUUCUUCAAUGUAAUUUAUUCGUCGAAAGGAAGUGGAAUUCAAUACGUUCCUUCCCUCCGUCUUAUCGAAAUUGUAAAUCAGCCGGCAUCCGUAACUUCAUUCGGAAACGUGUGGAUAAUCUGCGGAGUUCUUACAGUCGUUUCUGGUUCUUUGAUGAAGUCGCAAGCACGUUAAUCUAUCCGCGAUUUUCCAGAUAAAAUCUUUACCAGACCAGAGACGGACCAUCGAGAUUGAAACAGAGUAUCGACUUACAUCAUUAUCGAUACUCAUGCGAGUAUUAGAUUGCCAGCUAAUGAGACUGUCGAACAAAUUAAAACG